rnacentral:rRNA from 1 species
GAUGAACGCUGGCGGCGUGCCUAAUACAUGCAAGUCGAGCGAACGGACGAGAAGCUUGCUUUUCUGAUGUUAGCGGCGGACGGGUGAGUAACACGUGGAUAACCUACCUAUAAGACUGGGAUAACUUCGGGAAACCGGAGCUAAUACCGGAUAAUAUUUUGAACCGCAUGGUUCAAAAGUGAAAGACGGUCUUGCUGUCACUUAUAGAUGGAUCCGCGCUGCAUUAGCUAGUUGGUAAGGUAACGGCUUACCAAGGCAACGAUGCAUAGCCGACCUGAGAGGGUGAUCGGCCACACUGGAACUGAGACACGGUCCAGACUCCUACGGGAGGCAGCAGUAGGGAAUCUUCCGCAAUGGGCGAAAGCCUGACGGAGCAACGCCGCGUGAGUGAUGAAGGUCUUCGGAUCGUAAAACUCUGUUAUUAGGCAAGAACAUAUGUGUAAGUAACUGUGCACAUCUUGACGGUACCUAAUCAGAAAGCCACGGCUAACUACGUG